UCCUACGGGAGGCAGCAGUCGGGAAUUUUGGGCAAUGGGCGAAAGCCUGACCCAGCAACGCCGCGUGAAGGAUGAAAUCCCUCGGGAUGUAAACUUCGCAAGAACGGGAAGAAUAAGCCGGUGUUAACACCACCAGCGAUGACGGUACUGUUUGUAAGCUCCGGCUAACUCCGUGCCAGCAGCCGCGGUAAU
rnacentral:rRNA from 1 species